GUUUUUUUUUUUUAUCUGUACAUACAUACAAAAACGGAAGUGUAAAACGACAAUUUGUGGUUUUACGGGGGUUAUGUGCUGGUUUGAAGCAGUGACUUCCUGCAGGGUCCGCUGGUUAACUGGCAACUGUACAGUGACAACAAGACUACAGUUUCUGCAAGGAAAUACCCUGGCUCACAACCACCUGUAAAACCACCAAGGGUUGUUUUUAACCUCUUUUAGAUAAAGAUGAAAAAAGACAAUAAGGCAAUAUGUUAUCUACUUUGUUUUAUAAACACACUUAUGAUCAUUGUAGACACACACACACACUUAAAACUGCCAUCUAUCUUGAUAACAUUACACUGUCAGACAGACCAUUAACAAACAGUUGAUUCAACCUGGGUCAGACAAAACUGAUAAAGUGGUCUUGUUUAAACAAAGUCAGUACAGCACACACACACACACACACACACACACACACACACACACACACACACACGACUGGAGAGAACCAGACAGACAGGUCCUUAUGCACAGAGAGUACUUCUUCAUGAAGCAGGGUGUGUAAGACAGGGAGUGCCCGAAACACACACACACACCAGACAAAAACAAAUGUGAAAGUGCAGGGUUAGAACUGGUACAAUAAAUACUGAGUGUAUGUUAGAUGCCAUUUUUUUAUUAUGUUGAGGGUUUUAAACAGUGUAUACGAGUGUGUACUUCACUCAACAAACAAAUCAAAACAAAUAUUGUUGCGGUCAUAUUGAUGACUUGUUUUUAUGUGUGAGUGUAUGUAUGUACUUGCAUAACUGUGUGUGUGAGUUUAUCUUUUUCAUGGGUGUAGAUGUUUCUUUCCUUUUUUGGAAACAUAAGAUGCAACAGCUAUAUGUUUUUUCAUUGUAUUUAACAGAGAUGAACAUUUUUCUAUUUGGAUUUUCAUGUUGUUUUCCGUUUUAAGGACUAUGAAUGUGUUGGUUUCUGUCUAGUGUCUAUUUUUAACAAUACAGUACAACUUUCUUUCACUUUCCAGUGACCAACACCUACAUCAUGACACAUCCUACACAACAUGGACACAGAGUGUUGAGAUUCUGUUAAACCAUAUUUUUAUGACAUAUUUUUCAAACUGUCUUUGAAUGCAGCUGUAAUCUCUGUAUUCCCACUUAUCCAUCAGUAUUGAUUAUCUGUUUGUCUUGACGCCACACUGACAAAAUGUGACUAUGUAAAGGGAAAGUCUGGUUUCUUAUGUUCAUAGUUUUGGCGAUUAUUCCCACUGGUAAUAAUAACAAUGUAAUCACUAAGUUAAUCACUUUCGUUGACAUCGCUAAAAAGUCAGCAAUGAUCAGACGGGUUUUAAACAAACCCCCCAGGUUAGUCUCUUAGAUGGAAGACAAAACAAAAACAAACAGUAAAAUGAUUACCCAUACUGACUGUUGUAAUCUACCACAGUUUAAAGGGUAACUUCCUGGCUCCACUUUGACCUACUGUACUUAAAGUGGAUUUACACACACACAGUUUCACUGUGCAAUGAAAGGUUACUACUGACAUCUCAGGUGUGCUCACUUUCAGUUUUACCUCAAAAUAAAGUAGUUUAGAUGAUCUGGCUAAACUUCUGCCGUGUUUAUAACCUGUCUGACUGCUCGUGUUUCUUUCCCCUUUGGACAUUGGAUCUCAGCAGUUACUUUUGUGAGUACAAUGUUAUCAUAACCGAUAAAAAUGAUGGUUAAAACUACAACAAGAAGACCUAAGCUGUCCAGCAUUUUCAUUAUUUUUAGUUAUAUUAGUUAUAGGGUUUUUAUGGGUAUGAGUUGCCUAUUCUAAAAAUCUAUUGCUUCGAGAAGUUUGAUUUCAUGUGAUGAGCUGAUGCGAGGAAACUUCACCAGAUGAAGCAGAAAUCUCAGUCUGUGAGACUGCAGCUCAGAAACUACAGCAGUAGGAGGAAGCUUUCACAACAGAUGUUCAGGCCCUGCUAGCUAACAGGAAUUUGCAACGCAUUGUGCGUCUGUUGUGGCCUUAUGAUCUACGUCUUUUUCAUAACAGAGUAAACAUUCGCAAGGUUUCAGAUGAGGCAGAUUCCAAGAAACUUGUCUAUGAAAGUUUCCUUUCUUCCCACAUUUUUGUUUCUCUGUUUUCUUUCUUUUACUUUUGUCCACUUUUCCACAAAGUGCCACAAACGGAACGUACACAGCAGCAAAUACAUACAAACAAUUUGAUAAGUGCACACGUGUGCACAUACUUGCAAACACAUUCUCCCAUAUGAUAGAUAUGGCUGGAUCAUUUGUGAGGAGCUGCAAAGUAAAUCUUAAAUUAGAUCAUUUCGGUAAGCCCGCCUGUUGAUCUCAGUGCUCCUGGUUCCAGAGAAAAACACACACAAACACAGUUCUUUGAAAUCCUCCCCCACACUUGUGUUUUCACACUUAAUGAAAAAAACAUAAACCACAUUUCCCCUGCAGCCAGCGCAAAGACUGGAACGGGUUGACCUUUGUCUUUAUUUAUGUCUCCUUUGGGAGACAGGAAAUAUAGAGCUCCAGAAGACAACUAGCCACAAGUGGCCACACAUUUUCUCUGUUGCUUGAUCUUGCGUGAUAUGCUGAUACUGCUGUCCUUUGAUGCUGGUCAAGUGAUAAUUAGGGGAACUACAGUACUUCUGGGUCACUGAAACUGGUAAUGACUCAGUUAAACAGACAGACAAACAUGCACACUAACUCAUGGAUCUUUGUGGAAACAUCAGAGCGUGAUAUGACACAACUGACAGGAAGAAUGAACAGAAUUCCUUCAUAUUCUCUUCUUAACACCAUAAACGCAUUUUUAUUGCUUCAUCAGGUCAUGAUUUCUAUGUUAAUAUGAUUCCGUAUUAACAUAGAUAUAUCUAUUGUCAAGCUAAUUGCAUUGUGUUUCGGUGAUUACCUACUAAUCCCCAGCCUGGUGAAUAACUGUCCGACAGCGAAUGUGCCCGAGUCAGCAGGAUGGCAUCUUUGACUGUGGCAAGCAGCCAGAGCAUUUAAGCCUGCAGUACCUCUCCAUAUUGUUCUGUGUGCCACACAACAAAACCAGGGCCUCCGCUGCAAAAUACAGCCUGCACUGAGCUGCAGACAGACAGGCAGGUCAGCGGGCUGUUGGUGUACAAGUCGGACAGUCACGCAAACAUUUCGUUGGUUACAUUUGUCGGUGUUGUGAUAUAUCUUUAAUAAUGACAAGCAACAAGGAGGCCAGACCGUUUGAUACCAUGACGACAGCUGCCCCAGAGGACACACAGGGUGAUAAUACAAGGUCCAGACAGGAACAAGAGGAGAAACAGAUCCUGAUAGCCUGGGAAAGCAUGUCCUCAGCUCUGCAGAAGCACAGUCUGUGUAAGGACUCCACAGCUCCAGGCCCAGCUCAGUCUUUCCUGUCCAAGCAGAGGCAGUCCACCCAGGCCAGGAGGGCGCUCUCCCCCCGGCUGCAGCCCAGGUAGGAGCCUCCAUCCGCAGGGAGAAAUGGAGGAGCGCAGCCCACUCAAGAGCAAGAUGUAAAGCAAGAUUGUGUUGUGUUUUCAUUGACUGAGGUCUUCACUGUCUGUGGUUGGUUUGCUGCUAUCACCCCCUGCAGGUCGAUCUUGGUACUGGAGUGUUAUUUAAUGUAAAAACUAAAUAGUCAGUGUCAUAGAUUACUGUUUUUAUCUGUAUCAUAACUAAAUGUGGGCUUGUCAAUAAUCACCAGAUUGUCCGCUCCAUUCCUAUUUGUAUAAUAUCUAUACAUUUAUUUUGCAGGUAAGAUACAAUUUCCAUUAGAAAUAAUGCAAAACAAUGACUAUUCAUUGUGUCAUAAUGUUGUGGGUUACACUUUAUUUGGAUAGUCCGCCUACAGAUAGUUUAUAAAGUAUUUGUAACAUUUCAACAGCUUAUUAGUUGAGAUUCAACAAUUCAACUGUUUCACAAAUAAAACUGUUUUCAGGUUUGUUUAGAUUUAGGCACAAAAAACAUCUUGGUUAGGAUAUGUUCAUGAAUUGUCACAUAUACUCUUGAUAAUCUGUUAAACAUCUACACACAAAGCGAAACCUGUAGGUGGAUUAUCCAAAUAGGGUUACCCUGUUGUGUUAUUUCAUUCAAUAUUUGUUUAAAUUAAGUUUUGGAAAAUAUAUAAGAUAAUGCAUUAGAAAUCAUUCUAUUUACAGGGAUAUUUUACUAAUCAAAGAAAAUAAAGUGAACAAAGAAAAGUCACCCAUUUUGUCUUAAUUUCAGCACCAUUUUCUGUCCAAACUUUGGUUUAUGGUGAAAUACAGACUUCAGUAGUAACAGGCAAUAUAUUCAUAUUCUGCAAUACAAUGUGCAGAUAACUGAAAAACCAGAAAUUAUUUUUUCUUUAAACACACACUCCUUGAGCUUGAGAAACAAUUGGUUUCAAUCAGUUUCAUCUCUUUAGUACACAGGUAGCUUCGACAUGUUUAGCCUAGCUUAGCACAAAGACUGAAAGAAGGGGGAAACAUCUAGCCUACCUCUGUAAUGGUGUCUUGCAGCAACUCCAAAGCUCUCUCAUUAUUGUAUUUUCUGCAUUUAAUAAACAUAGAACUAAAAAAAAACAUUGGCAUUGUGGUUUAUGGUGCAACUAUAUAGCUUAAUUACUAAGAAGCUAGCCUAAUUAUUAAGCUAGCUCAUGAUACUUCCAAAGUCCUGUUUCAUUGUGAAGUUGUCGGCUUCAUAGAUUUUCACAACUCUGAACUAAACCCAGGUGACUCUUGGAUGCACUGGUAAGUAGUUUGCUAGCUACUAAAACACAACAUGUAAAUAAGACACUUUUGGAGUCGUUUCCACCUUUUUUGAUGAAGGCCAAUCUCCCUCUGCCUCCAGUCUCUGUGCUAAGCUAGGCUAAAUGUGAUGAAACUCGUUUAACCUAGCUUAGCACAAACACGUACGGUCUGUAUUGAAUAUACAGAGAUUAAAUUUAGAUUUUUCUUCUCAAACACUCAGUAAGACUAUGAAUCUUCCAAAAUGUCAGAGCGUACCUU